CUAGGAGACAAUUGAACUAAGUUUAAUUUGUGUGUGUGUGUGUGUGCAUGUGCAUUAUACUAAUGGUUAUAUCAUUCUGCAUCACAUUGUUAUAUUUUUUACCAUAAAAUGGUUCCUCUAAUGCAAUUCAGUACAUCAGUAUUCAUUUUGGUCUCCAAGGACCACUAUGACUUUCAGGUGCUCCACCUCUGGGGAAAUUUAGGAAUUGCUUUUUGAUCGUGUGGUGGUUUUCAAAGGGCGUUCACGUAUAUUUUUCUCACCUAAUCCUCAGAACAACCUUCAAAUUCAGUUUGACCCUGGACAUUAGAUCAUCUUCUCUUUCAAUUCCAUGGACAUUUAUUCUGUUAUAUUCAGUUUGAUGCCAUUAAUCCUGUCUCAGGUCACCCCUCAAAGCCCUGGGCUCAAGCAAGCCUCCUGCUUCAACUUUCCAAGGAGCUGGGACUACAGAUGUGUGCUACCUCACCUGGAUAGUUUUUAUUUUUUAUUUUUGCAGAGACGAGGUCUCAUUGUAUUGCCCAGGCUGGUCUUGAACUCCUGACCUCAAGCGAUCCUCCUGUCUCAGCCUUCCAAAGAACUGAGAUUACAGGAAUGAGCUACCAUGCCAGGCCUUCAGAUUUCCAUUAUUCUUUUGUUAAAAUUUUUUUUCCACAAAUGUCUCAGAAGAUAUGGUGACUAAAGAUACCUUCAUUAUCCAAAAGGAAAUCAGUCAAACAAAUAAAAAUCAUAGUUGAAUCAGGA
rnacentral:lncRNA from 10 species